rnacentral:rRNA from 1 species
UACGUAGGGUGCAAGCGUUAAUCGGAAUUACUGGGCGUAAAGCGUGCGCAGGCGGUGAUGUAAGACAGGUGUGAAAUCCCCGGGCUUAACCUGGGAACUGCGCUUGUUACUGGCAGACUGGAGUGUGGCAGAGGGGGGUGGAAUUCCAGGUGUAGCAGUGAAAUGCGUAGAUAUCUGGAGGAACACCGAUGGCGAAGGCAGCCCCCUGGGCUAACACUGACGCUGAUGCACGAAAGCGUGGGGAGCAAACAGG